ensembl:lncRNA
AGAACAAUACACAACUGCAAUGAUAAAAAUUCUGGAUGAAACGUAACAAUUUAGUUCUGAUGAUUGUACCAAAUUUAUUGAUACUUCCUGUCCGGUAGAAACACCAGCUGUUUCUCAAUGUCAAGGAAGGAUCCUUCGAAGCCAGAAUUUGGAGGAUGCUACGUCAUCGAUGUCCGUCGAAGGACCGUUCCAAUGUCGAGGAUCCUCCGAAUCCCACCAAGGACUGAGUCCUUCGUUCUGAGAAUUUCCCAUAGACGGCAAAGGAUGCAUAUGUGUAUCCUUCGCGCUCCUAUAUUACCCACAAUCCUAUGCGCACGGCUUUUCCAGCUCGUUAAAAAAAAUAAAAAUGCCGGACCUAAGCGGAGUGACGGGGCAAUAUGCUUUUAAAUGGACUUAGGAACAAACGGAGACGUUUAUACGUCUCCGUUUAGAAAAAUAGCAGCUGUUUACCAGGGGGAGGGACACCGCGGCCAACGGAUAUCGGCUUAUUUUGGAGAAGAUGGGGAUCGGAGGGAGGGUCACCCAGGCCAAGAAGAAGUAGGACAAUCUGAAGAUGAAGUACAAUUAAGCCUUGGAUGGAGAGAGUGGAUCCACUCCUACAGCUACUGAAGGAGGACAUAAAAUACCAGAGGGAGGCAGAUGAGAGGAGGGAAGCAGAGGCCAGAGAGAGGUCAAAUAGAUUUUUUUCAUUGUUGGAGAGGUUGGGGGAAAAAU